rnacentral:RNase_P_RNA from 2 species
GGCCCACGCAAGUGGGAUCAGGUAAGGGUGAAAGGGUGCGGUAAGAGCGCACCGCGCGGCUGGUAACAGUCCGUGGCACGGUAAACUCCACCCGGAGCAAGGCCAAAUAGGGGUUCAUAAGGUACGGCCCGUACUGAACCCGGGUAGGCUGCUUGAGCCAGUGAGCGAUUGCUGGCCUAGAUGAAUGACUGUCCACGACAGAACCCGGCUUAUCGGUCAGUUUCACCU